rnacentral:hammerhead_ribozyme from 1 species
AUCCAGCUGACCAGUCUCAAAUAGGACGAAACGCGCGUCCUGGAU